rnacentral:rRNA from 1 species
UGAGUAACGCGUGGGUAACCUGCCUUAGUACAGGGGGAUAACAGUUAGAAAUGACUGCUAAUACCGCAUAAGCGCACAGUAUCGCAUGAUACAGUGUGAAAAGCCGAGACGGUAUAAGAUGGACCCGCGUCUGAUUAGCCAGUUGGCAGGGUAACGGCCUACCAAAGCAACGAUCAGUAGCCGGCCUGAGAGGGUGAACGGCCACAUUGGGACUGAGACACGGCCCAAACUCCUACGGGAGGCAGCAGUGGGGGAUAUUGCACAAUGGGGGGAAACCCUGAUGCAAGCGACGCCGCGUGAGCGAUGAAGUAUUUCGGUAUGUAAAGCUCUAUCAGCAGGGAAGAAAAUGACGGUACCUGACUAAGAAGCUCCGGCUAAAUACGUGCCAGCCGCCGC